rnacentral:rRNA from 1 species
UACGUAGGGGGCAAGCGUUGUCCGGAUUUAUUGGGCGUAAAGAGCGUGUAGGCGGCUAGGUAGGUCCGUUGUGAAAACUCGAGCUCAACCUCGAGACGCCGGUGGAAACCAUCUAGCUAGAGUCCGGAAGAGGAGAGUGGAAUUCCUGGUGUAGCGGUGAAAUGCGCAGAUAUCAGGAAGAACACCCGUGGCGAAGGCGGCUCUCUGGGACGUGACUGGACGCUGAGACGCGAAAGCGUGGGGAGCGAACAGG